GGAAAGAUCUUCGCCUAUGAAGAUGAAGAAGAAGAACUCCACCUCGUAGCAAGAAAUGUAAACGAACUGUUUGAAACUGGCCUUACCUUUCCUGGAUUAGAAUGCUACAAGAUGGGGGAAUGUUUCGAGGACGAUACAGAAGAAGAAUACAAUGAAAUCAUGGAAUCUGAUGAAAUGAAAAAAGAGGAACAGGAGUACCUCGAUUUCUAUGAAUCGAUGUGGAGUAAAGUACGGGAACUGUGUGGGUACUCAAAGCACUGAAUUUAAGGUGAUGCUCAAUGCAAGGUGAGGAGAAAAGCAUGGUCCAGCUCAAGAUGAAUUCAGAAACAAAAAGUGCUGGGAGAUGUUCGCAAAGAUAUGGAAAUUGUUCCUGUAGAUAAGAACUCAGAAAUGGUUAAAUUAAUUAGUUACAGAAAUGUCAGAGACCACUUUUAUGAUUUC